UACGAAGGGGGCUAGCGUUGUUCGGAAUACUGGGCGUAAAGCGCGCGCAGGCGGUCUUCCAAGUCAGUGGUGAAAGCCCGGAGCUCAACUCCGGAACUGCCAUUGAAACUGUAAGACUUGAGGAUGAGAGAGGUGAGUGGAAUUCCCAGUGUAGAGGUGAAAUUCGUAGAUAUUGGGAGGAACACCAGUGGCGAAGGCGGCUCACUGGACCGGUUCUGACGCUGAGGCGCGAAAGCGUGGGGAGCAAACGGGG
rnacentral:rRNA from 1 species